GAUGAACGCUGGCGGCGUGCCUAAUACAUGCGAGUCGAGCGAACAGACGAGGAGCUUGCUCCUCUGACGUUAGCGGCGGACGGGUGAGUAACACGUGGAUAACCUACCUAUAAGACUGGGAUAACUUCGGGAAACCGGAGCUAAUACCGGAUAAUAUAUUGAACCGCAUGGUUCAAUAGUGAAAGACGGUUUUGCUGUCACUUAUAGAUGGAUCCGCGCCGCAUUAGCUAGUUGGUAAGGUAACGGCUUACCAAGGCAACGAUGCGUAGCCGACCUGAGAGGGUGAUCGGCCACACUGGAACUGAGACACGGUCCAGACUCCUACGGGAGGCAGCAGUAGGGAAUCUUCCGCAAUGGGCGAAAGCCUGACGGAGCAACGCCGCGUGAGUGAUGAAGGUCUUCGGAUCGUAAAACUCUGUUAUUAGGGAAGAACAAAUGUGUAAGUAACUAUGCACGUCUGGACGGUACCUAAUCAGAAAGCCACGGCUAACUACGG
rnacentral:rRNA from 1 species